GAUGCAUGUGGUCUUGUAAGUCGGGCGUGAAAUCCCAGGGCUUAACCCUGGAAGUGCACUCGAUACUGCGAGACUUGAAUGCCGGAGAGGUCGCUAGAAUUCCUGGUGUAGUGGUGAAAUACGUAGAUAUCAGGAGGAACAUCGGAGGCGAAGGCGGGUGACCAGCCGGACAUUGACACUGAGAUCCGAAAGUGUGGGGAUCAAACA
rnacentral:rRNA from 1 species